GCUACGUGCCUGUUUGAGAAUGACCUUGAAAUAAACAUAUCAAUAAACUUGGCUAACAAACAGAGUCGCGGCACAUUAUAAGAUACUAUUAGCUUACAGAUUUGGACAUUAACCGUAAGGACAUUUACAUGUGUAAGGAACCGGGGGACCAACAAGACCAACGACUCGUUAUCGGUCUUAUCUCGACCACGAUGACGAUUACUCAGUGCUAUCUUAUUCUAUAUAACAAGUUCCAAAAGCGACAUUCUUAAGCCCUAACCACUUGAAGCAGAACUUCGGAAACAGUUAUUUCCAGAACCAGUUCAGAAAAUGAUUGCAAAAGUCUUUCUUGGUGUCCUGAUGACGUCACUGGCCGUGGAGAUGAUCCUGAGUUGUAGAUCGUCCUAUCAACACAAGCAGUGCUACUGUGAUUGUGAUGACAAUCUAUUCAUCCCCUGUACAACCAACUGUUCUCAAACCUACACAGAUCAUACCCACCUCAACCACUGUAAGAUCAGGUGCCACGACCACCUAGCCCAUUGCCUCCAUGUCUGCAAUAACCCGGAUGUCCUCGGAUAAGCUUUGUAUUUUACUAUGCAUAUGUAUUUGAUAUUAAAAUUUUGUGGUUAAUGGAAAAAA